GACGAACGCUGGCGGCGUGCUUAACACAUGCAAGUCGAGCGGAAACGCCCUUUCGGGGGUACUCGAGCGGCGAACGGGUGAGUAACACGUGAGUAAUCUGCCCUUCACUUUGGGAUAACCCCCGGAAACGGGAGCUAAUACCGGAUAUGACCGGCAACCGCAUGGUUUGUUGGUGGAAACUUUUUUGGGUGGGGGAUGUGCUCGCGGCCUAUCAGCUUGUUGGUGGGGUAAUGGCCUACCAAGGCUUUGCCGGGUAGCCGGCCUGAGAGGGUGACCGGCCACACUGGGACUGAGACACGGCCCAGAGUCCUACGGGAGGCAGCAGUGGGGAAUAUUGGACAAUGGGCGGAAGCCUGAUCCAGCAACGCCGCGUGAGGGAUGACGGCCUUCGGGUUGUAAACCUCUUUCAGCACCGACGAAGCGUGAGUGACGGUAGGUGCAGAAGAAGGACCGGCCAACUACGUGCCAGCCGCCGCGGUAACAC
rnacentral:rRNA from 1 species